rnacentral:rRNA from 1 species
UACGAAGGGGGCUAGCGUUGCUCGGAAUUACUGGGCGUAAAGGGCGCGUAGGCGGACAGUUUAGUCAGAGGUGAAAGCCCAGGGCUCAACCUUGGAAUUGCCUUUGAUACUGGCUGUCUUGAGUUCGGGAGAGGUGAGUGGAAUGCCGAGUGUAGAGGUGAAAUUCGUAGAUAUUCGGCGGAACACCAAUGGCGAAGGCAGCACUCUGGGACGUGACUGACGCUGAGACGCGAAAGCGUGGGGAGCAAACAGG